rnacentral:rRNA from 1 species
GGAUUAGAUACCCUGGUAGUCCACGCCGUAAACGAUGAGUGCUAGGUGUCGCGGGUAUUGACCCCUGCGGUGCCGUAGUUAACGCGUUAAGCACUCCGCCUGGGGAGUACGGCCGCAAGGCUAAAACUCAAAGGAAUUGACGGGGGCCCGCACAAGCGGUGGAGCAUGUGGUUCAAUUCGACGCAACGCGCAGAACCUUACCUGGGUUAAAUCCAGCCGAAUCCCGCAGAGACGUGGGAGUGCCCUUCGGGGAAUGGCUGAGACGGUGCUGCAUGGCUGUCGUCAGCUCGUGCCG